UGAGGAAUAUUGGUCAAUGGGGGGAACCCUGAACCAGCCAUCCCGCGUGCAGGAAGACAGUUCUAUGGAUUGUAAACUGCUUUUCUUGGGGAAGAAUAAUGACGACGUGUCGUCAGAUGACGGUACCCGAGGAAUAAGCAUCGGCUAACUCCGUGCCAGCAGCCGCGGUAAUACGGAGGAUGCAAGCGUUAUCCGGAUUUAUUAGGUUUAAAGGGUGUGUAGGCGGAUGUAUAAGUCAGUGGUGAAAGUCAGCAGCUUAACUGUAGAAUUGCCAUUGAUACGGUAUGUCUUGAGGGUGGUUGGGGUAUGCGGAAUGUGUUAUGUAGCGGUGAAAUGCAUAGAUAUUACACAGAACACCGAUUGCGAAGUCAGCAUGCUAAGCCACAACUGACGCUGAUGCACGAAAGCGUGGGGAUCAAACA
rnacentral:rRNA from 1 species